rnacentral:rRNA from 1 species
AUUGAACGCUGGCGGCAUGCUUUACACAUGCAAGUCGAACGGUAACAGGUUAAGCUGACGAGUGGCGAACGGGUGAGUAAUGCAUCGGAACGUGCCCGGUCGUGGGGGGUAACGCAGCGAAAGCUGCGCUAAUACCGCAUACGAUCUGAGGAUGAAAGCGGGGGACCGUAAGACAUCGCUCGAUCGGAGCGGCCGAUGUCAGAUUAGGUAGUUGGUGGGGUAAAGGCUCACCAAGCCAACGAGCCGUAGCUGGUCUGAGAGGACGACCAGCCACACUGGGACUGAGACACGGCCCAGACUCCUACGGGAGGCAGCAGUGGGGAAUUUUGGACAAUGGGCGAAAGCCUGAUCCAGCAAUGCCGCGUGCAGGAAGAAGGCCUUCGGGUUGUAAACUGCUUUUGUACGGAGCGAAAAGGUCUCCUCUAAUACAGGGGGCUCAUGACGGUACCGUAAGAAUAAGCACCGGCUAACUACGUGCCAGCCGCCGCGGUAAUAC